rnacentral:rRNA from 1 species
GAUGAACGCUGGCGGCGUGCCUAAUACAUGCAAGUCGAGCGAACGGACGAGAAGCUUGCUUUUCUGAUGUUAGCGGCGGACGGGUGAGUAACACGUGGAUAACCUACCUAUAAGACUGGGAUAACUUCGGGAAACCGGAGCUAAUACCGGAUAAUAUUUUGAACCGCAUGGUUCAAAAGUGAAAGACGGUCUUGCUGUCACUUAUAGAUGGAUCCGCGCUGCAUUAGCUAGUUGGUAAGGUAACGGCUUACCAAGGCAACGAUGCAUAGCCGACCUGAGAGGGUGAUCGGCCACACUGGAACUGAGACACGGUCCAGACUCCUACGGGAGGCAGCAGUAGGGAAUCUUCCGCAAUGGGCGAAAGCCUGACGGAGCAACGCCGCGUGGGUGAUGAAGGUCUUCGGAUCGUAAAACUCUGUUAUUAGGGAAGAACAUAUGUGUAAGUAACUGUGCACAUCUUGACGGUACCUAAUCAGAAAGCCCCGGCUAACUACGUG